rnacentral:rRNA from 1 species
UACGUAGGGUGCAAGCGUUGUCCGGAAUUAUUGGGCGUAAAGAGCUCGUAGGCGGUCUGUCGCGUCUGCUGUGAAAACUCGGGGCUUAACCCCGGGCCUGCAGUGGGUACGGGCAGACUAGAGUGCGGUAGGGGAGACUGGAAUUCCUGGUGUAGCGGUGAAAUGCGCAGAUAUCAGGAAGAACACCGGUGGCGAAGGCGGGUCUCUGGGCCGUAACUGACGCUGAGGAGCGAAAGCGUGGGGAGCGAACAGG